AAUCAUCAACCACCUCAUCUUCUUGAGAGGGUUGGACUUGGAGGUUUCUGCUGGCCCCUUCUGGGGCCCGGCUCCUCUGAAAAGCAUUAGCAGGGGCUCAUGUUGUGCGAUCUGCGGCCUUGUGUGAUAGUCUAUCUACACUCGGCUCAGCCACAUUCACCCAGCUUCCAGCUGUCUGCUUGCGCGGACAACUCAUUGACC
rnacentral:misc_RNA from 1 species